UGGGGGUUAUUGCACAAUGGGCGCAAGCCUGAUGCAGCGACGCCGCGUGGGGGAUGAAGGCCUUCGGGUUGUAAACUUCUUUUGCUCUGAACAAGGCGCACUUUGGGGUGUGUUGAGUGUAGGGGUUGAUUAGCGCCGGCUAACUACGUGCCAGCAGCCGCGGUAAUACGUAGGGCGCGAGCGUUGUCCGGAAUUAUUGGGCGUAAAGGGCUUGUAGGUGGCUGGUUGCGUCUGUCGUGAAAGCUCAUGGCUUAACUGUGGGUUUGCGGUGGGUACGGGCUGGCUUGAGUGCAGUAGGGGAGGCUGGAAUUCCUGGUGUAGCGGUGGAAUGCGCAGAUAUCAGGAGGAAUACCGGUGGCGAAGGCGGGUCUCUGGGCUGUUACUGACACUGAGGAGCGAAAGCAUGGGGAGCGAACAGG
rnacentral:rRNA from 1 species